rnacentral:rRNA from 1 species
UACGGAGGGGGCUAGCGUUGUUCGGAAUUACUGGGCGUAAAGCGCACGUAGGCGGCGACUCAAGUCAGAGGUGAAAGCCCGGGGCUCAACCCCGGAACUGCCUUUGAAACUAGGUUGCUAGAAUCUUGGAGAGGUCAGUGGAAUUCCGAGUGUAGAGGUGAAAUUCGUAGAUAUUCGGAAGAACACCAGUGGCGAAGGCGACUGACUGGACAAGUAUUGACGCUGAGGUGCGAAAGCGUGGGGAGCGAACCGG